rnacentral:sRNA from 1 species
GUCGUGAGAUGUUGGGUUAAGUCCCGCAACGAGCGCAACCCUUAUCCUAUGUUGCCAGCGCGUAAUGGCGGGGACUCGUAGGAGACUGCCGGGGUCAACUCGGAGGAAGGUGGGGACGACGUCAAGUCAUCAUGCCCCUUACGUCCAGGGCUGCAAACAUGCUACAAUGGCCGGUACAAAGGGCUGCUAUCCCGCGAGGGUGAGCGAAUCCCAAAAAGCCGGUCUCAGUUCGGAUUGGAGUCUGCAACUCGACUCCAUGAAGCUGGAGUUGCUAGUAAUCCCGGAUCAGCAUCGCCGGGGUGAAUACGUUCCCGGGCCUUGUACACACCGCCCGUCACACCACGAAAGUCGGUAACACCCGAAGCCAGUGGCCCAACCGCAAGGAGGGAGCUGUCGAAGGUGGGACCAGCGAUUGGGGUGAAGUCGUAACAAGGUAGCCGUACCGGAAGGUGCGGCUGGAUCACCUCCUUUCUAAGGAGAUUCGCCACAUUCCGUGGCGUACUCCGAGUCGAUCACUCGUUAUUCGACCUCCUCGAGCCCCACCGAUUCGCAGGACUUGUCCUCAUCGGUGACCGGUUCGAAGUGGUCGGUCCCUCCUCUGUUCCGUUUUCUAGGGGCGCUUUGUCGCGCCUCGCUCCUUGAGAGUUGGAUAGCAAGCACGAGCAUCUUUUUGAAUUGAUUUCCAAGCUACAAAGAGCCAACGGUGGAUGCCUUGGCGCCUGAUGCCGAUGGAGGACGUGGGUGACUGCGAAAAGUCACGGGGAGCUGUCUACCAAGCUUUGAUCCGUGGAUAU